GGAGCGGCGAUCGUCCUAUCAGGUUGUUGGUGGGGUAAAGGCCUACCAAGCCGAAGACGGGUAGCGGGUGUGAGAGCAUGGCCCGCCGCAUCGGAACUGAGACACUGUCCGGACUCCUACGGGAGGCUGCAGUAACGAAUCUUCCGCAAUGCGCGAAAGCGUGACGGAGCAAUGCCGCGUGUGGGAUGAAGCGGUUACGCCGUGUAAACCACUGUCAGGACUUAGGAAGAACUGACCGAGUCCAAAGGAAGGGCCGGCUAAUCUCGUGCCAGCAGCCGCGGUAAUACGAGAGGCCCGAGCGUUAGGCGGAAUCACUGGGC
rnacentral:rRNA from 1 species